UACGAAGGGGGCUAGCGUUGCUCGGAAUCACUGGGCGUAAAGCGCACGUAGGCGGCUUUCUAAGUCAGGGGUGAAAUCCUGGAGCUCAACUCCAGAACUGCCUUUGAUACUGGAGAGCUUGAGUCCGGAAGAGGUGAGUGGAACUCCGAGUGUAGAGGUGAAAUUCGUAGAUAUUCGGAAGAACACCAGUGGCGAAGGCGGCUCACUGGUCCGGUACUGACGCUGAGGUGCGAAAGCGUGGGGAGCAAGCAGG
rnacentral:rRNA from 1 species